CUCCUGCAGGCCCUGGAUCCACUUGGCCAGCGUGGCCUGGUCAUGAGCACCCGCCAUGCAUAUGGCGAAGACAGGGCCUUCCUCCACUGUCAGGAGAGACAGGCCCUCAGUUUGUGCAGUAGGGACUGGAGCAGCCCCCUCAAGCCCACAUCCCUUCCAGGCCAAGGAUGGGGGCUUUAAGCUCCCUUUGUCCUUUUCUGUGUUUCCAAGCCUUUGCACAUGCUCUGCCUAGCCUGCCUGUCCCAUGCUUCACCUAGGUGACACCUCCUGCCUCAAGUUUCCACCAGGAAAUCCUCCUGACUCCCACCUGAGGCUGAGUUGUGUGCUCCUCCCCAAGAAUGUAACUUGUCUGAUCCACCGCUGGCCUGAGGGAAGGGACUGGGCCUGUCCUGGUCACGCCCAGUAGCCAGCACAGAGGUGCUCCAUAAACGUUUGAAGGAGGAUGUUUGAGGGCUGACAGGUCUGGAGCCCCUGAGUGGACCUUACCUACGAUGUGGGGCUCCGUGGGAUCCGUGGCAUCUGUGGAGUCUUUGGACAAAGGCAUCUGCAAGGAAAGUCGGAGUGGAAGCUUGCAGCCCCCACAGCCCCUACGGAGGAGCCCGGGAGAGAGAAAUGGGGAUUCCAGUGAAUUCAGGACCCCUCUUGGGUCUGUCUACUGGGCCUCCAACAAUCACUCGAGCCCACCGCCUUCUUGCUUCUAUCUAAUUGGGACAGCGAUCCCGCACUCCUGCUGCCGUGGGUAGUGGAGGAAGAUGCUGUGGAAGAUGUUGCGAGGCCGGAAGACCUCCUUGGGGAAGAUGUCAAGCAGCAGGUUGUAGAUAGC